rnacentral:rRNA from 1 species
AUUGAACGCUAGCGGGAUGCCUUACACAUGCAAGUCGAACGGAGUGGCGAACGGGUGAGUAAUGUAUCGGAACGUGCCCAGUAGCGGGGGAUAACUACGCGAAAGCGUAGCUAAUACCGCAUAACAUUGGAGCGGCCGGUACCGGAUUCGCUAGUGGGGUGGGUAACGGCUCACCAAGGCGACGAUCCGUAGCUGGUUUGAUAGGACGGCCAGCAACACUGGGACUGAGACACGGCCCAAACUCCUACGGGAGGCAGCAGUGGGUGAUUUUGGACAAGGGGGGAAACCCUGAUCCAGCCAUCCCGCGUGUGCGAUGAAGGCCUUCGGGUUGUAAAGCACUUUUGGCAGGAAAGCGGUACCGGCAGAAUAAGCACCGGAUAACUACGUGCCAGCCGCCGCGGUAAUAC